GACGAACGCUGGCGGCGUGCUUAACACAUGCAAGUCGAACGGAAAGGCCCUGCUUUUGUGGGGUGCUCGAGUGGCGAACGGGUGAGUAACACGUGAGUAACCUGCCCUUGACUUUGGGAUAACUUCAGGAAACUGGGGCUAAUACCGGAUAGGAGCUCCUGCUGCAUGGUGGGGGUUGGAAAGUUUCGGCGGUUGGGGAUGGACUCGCGGCUUAUCAGCUUGUUGGUGGGGUAGUGGCUUACCAAGGCUUUGACGGGUAGCCGGCCUGAGGGGGUGACCGGCCACAUUGGGGCUGAGAUACGGCCCAGACUCCUACGGGAGGCAGCAGUGGGGAAUAUUGCUCAAUGGGCGGAAGCCUGAUGCAGCAACGCCGCGUGCGGGAUGACGGCCUUCGGGUUGUAAACCGCUUUCGCCUGUGACGAAGCGUGAGUGACGGUAAUGGGUAAAGAAGCACCGGCUAACUACGUG
rnacentral:rRNA from 1 species